rnacentral:rRNA from 1 species
AACGAACGCUGGCGGUAUGCUUUACACAUGCAAGUCGAACGAACUGUUGGUAGCUUGCUAUCAACAGUUAGUGGCAAACGGGUGAGUAACGCGUGGGAAUCUACCCUAUAGUUGGGGACAACAUAUGGAAACGUAUGCUAAUACCGAAUGUGCUCUAAGGAGUAAAGGAGCCCUCUUCUUGAAAGGUUUCGCUAUAGGAUGAGCCCGCGUGAGAUUAGCUAGUUGGUAAGGUAAUGGCUUACCAAGGCAACGAUCUCUAGCUGGUUUGAGAGGAUGAUCAGCCACACUGGGACUGAGACACGGCCCAGACUCCUACGGGGAGGCAGCAGUGGGGAAUAUUGCACAAUGAGCGAAAGCUUGAUGCAGCCAUACCGCGUGUGUGAAGAAGGCCCGAGGGUUGUAAAGCACUUUCAAUUGUGAGGAAGAUAGUGUAGCGAAUAACUGCAUUGUUUGACGUUAACUUUAGAAGAAGCACCGGCU